rnacentral:lncRNA from 1 species
AUGGCUCAUGCCGGUAAUCCCAGCACUUUAGGAAUUUAGGCAGGAGGAUCACUUGAGGCCAGGAGUUCAAGACCAGUCUGGGCAACAUAGUAAGACCUUGUCUCGGCUCACUAGGGUUAGGGUUAGGGUUUUAGGGUUGUUAGGGUUAGGGUUUUAGGGUUGUUAGGGUUAGGGUUUUAGGGUUGUUAGGGUUAGGGUUAGGGUUUUAGGGUUGUUAGGGUUAGGGUUAGGGUUUUAGGGUUGUUAGGGUUAGGGUUUAGGGUUACGGUUAGGGUUAGGGUUUAGGGUUAGGGUUCGGGUUCGGGUUCCGGUUAGGCUUAGGGUUUAGGGUUAGGGUUAGGGUUAUUGGUUAGAGUUAGGGUUAGGGUUAGGGUUCAGGUUAGGGGUUACGGUUUAGGGUUAAGGUUAGGGUUAUUGGUUAGGGUUAGGCUUCGGGUUUGGGUUCUGGUUGGGGUUGGGGUUUGGGUUCGGGUUAGGGGUUAGGGGUUAGGGUUUAGGGUUAGGGUUAGGGUUUUUGGUUAGGGUUAGGGUUCGGGUUCGGGUUGGGGUUGGGGUUUGGGUUAGGGUUAGGGUUUGGUUUUAGCGUUAGGGGUUAGGGGUUAGGGUUAGUGUAGGGGUUAGGAGUUAGGGGUUAGGGUUAGGGUUUUGUGUUAGGUUUAGGGUUAGGGUAGGGUUAGGGUUAGGGUUAAAGUUAGGGUAAAGGCGUUAGGGUUAGGGUUAGAUUACAAUUUCUAACCUGUUUUAUUUUGUUUUUUUUCUGAGACAGGGUCUCCCUCUGUUGUCCAAGGCUGGAGUGUAGUAGUGCUAUCGCAGCUGACUGCAGCCUCAACCUUCCAGGCUGAAGCGAUCCUCCUACCUCAACCUCCCACGUGGCUGAGACUACAGGUGCUUGACACUAUGCCCAACUAAUAUUUGGAAUUUUCGUAUACGUGGAUUCCAGAGGGGUGACAGUGUAACGUGGGACCAUCCAGUUUCAGGAAA